rnacentral:tRNA from 1 species
GGGCGAGUGGUGGAAUGGCAGACACGAGGGACUUAAAAUCCCUUGGGCGAUGAGCCCGUGUGAGUUCGACUCUCACCUCGCCCA